GAAAAGGCUGUGAAUGUGUCAGUAGAGCACUAUACUUUUUAAAGAGAGAGCAGGUCACCGGCUGAGAGCCAGCUUAAGGUAAGAUAGGAAUCGAAUUUCACACAGGAGCCGCAUUUGUGAACGCAGGAGAUCUUGUAAAUAGCAGAUGACGCCUGAUACACGUUACGUAUCUACAAAGUGCUUUUCUUCGGAUAAAGAAGAGAAGAAUCAGGGUGGUACCGCGGAAUCAUUCGUCCCUACU
rnacentral:ncRNA from 1 species